UAUCGUUCAGGUGCUCCCAAACGAGCCGAACAGGGAACCCCGUGAGAGUCGGGGACGGGCCCGCCGCUGUAACCCUUCUUUUUGCCGCUGGAUUCGGCAAAAAGAACUCUUUCAGACUUUGCAUACCACUGUCAGGCACUCAACUCUCAUUGACUGCCCGGCGGGAAGGUCGCUGAAAGGGGAGGGAAGUCAGAAGACCUGCCUGAACGUGCGGCAUAUUC
rnacentral:ncRNA from 23 species